GUUGAAACACCGGUUCUCGUACGUUCACCUAAGUUAAGCAACGUCUAGCCUGGUCAGUACUUAGAUGAGUGACCGCUUUGAAAUACUACGUGCUGA